rnacentral:rRNA from 1 species
UGGGGAAUCUUGCACAAUGGGGGAAACCCUGAUGCAGCGACGCCGCGUGAGCGAUGAAGGUUUUCGAAUCGUAAAGCUCUGUCCUCUGGGAAGAUAAUGACGGUACCAUGGGAGGAAGCCCCGGCUAACUACGUGCCAGCAGCCGCGGUAAUACGUAGGGGGCGAGCGUUGUCCGGAAUUACUGGGCGUAAAGGGUUCGCAGGCGGCAUGGCAAGUCCGAUGUAAAAGGCGAAGGCUCAACCUUCGUAAGCAUCGGAAACUGUCAAGCUUGAGUGAAGGAGAGGCAAAUGGAAUACCUAGUGUAGCGGUGGAAUGCGUAGAUAUUAGGAGGAAUACCGGUAGCGAAGGCGACUUGCUGGACUUCAACUGACGCUGAGAAACGAAAGAGUGGGUAGAAAACAGG